rnacentral:rRNA from 1 species
CCAAUAGCGUAUAUUAAAGUUGUUGCAGUUAAAAAGCUCGUAGUUGAAUUUCGGGAUCAAUUUGCUGGUCGUGCCUCUGGUACGUACUGGUAUUAUUGGUUUCUCCCUUCUGACGAACCAUGAUGUCAUUAAUUUGAUGUCGUGGAGAAUCAGGACUGUUACUUUGAAAAAAUUAGAGUGUUUAAAGCAGGCAUUAGCUUGAAUACAUUAGCAUGGAAUAAUGAAAUAGGACGUUUGAUCCUAUUUUGUUGGUUUCUAGGAUUGACGUAAUGAUUAAUAGGGAUAGUUGGGGGCAUUAGUAUUCAAUUGUCAGAGGUGAAAUUCUUGGAUUUAUUGAAGACUAACUACUGCGAAAGCAUUUGCCAAGGAUGUUUUCAUUAAUCAAGAACGAAAGUUAGGGGAUCGAAGACGAUCAGAUACCGUCGUAGUCUUAACCAUAAACUAUGCCGACUAGGGAUCGGAUGAUGUUAAUUUUUUAAUGACUCAUUCGGCGCCUUACG